rnacentral:rRNA from 1 species
CUGGACAAUGCAGCGAGUAGCAUGCCCAGAGAUCUUAGCCAAUGGAUAAUGAAGCAUUACAACCCUGAGAUUUCACAGAUAGUCAUUCCAGAAAGGGGGAAGAUUCCUGUAGAUACCACAAGUGUCCGUAGGAUAUGGGGUUUGCCAAAUAAGGGCAGGAAGGUGUGUUUUGAGAAUCGGACUGAAAUCACAAAGGCAAUGUACGGUAUUUAA